CACCCUCUUAUUUAUCUCUCUUAAUAUUCAUCAUCUGCAUGCCUAACCUCUUCAGCUCUCCAAACACUCUUGAAAAUGGCUUCUUUCUCCACCACUCUUUUUUCUCCUCUCACCUCUUCACCUUUCCUUCACUCUCUCUUCUUUUCAUCUACCUUUCAACGCCCACCAAAAAUGCUGUACGACCUCAUUUCUUCACCAAUUUCUUGAACCCUUCACAACC
rnacentral:misc_RNA from 1 species